rnacentral:rRNA from 1 species
AUUGAACGCUGGCGGCAUGCUUUACACAUGCAAGUCGAACGGUAACAGGGUGCUUGCACCGCUGACGAGUGGCGAACGGGUGAGUAAUACAUCGGAAUGUACCCAGUAAUGGGGGAUAACGCUUCGAAAGGAGUGCUAAUACCGCAUACGCCCUGAGGGGGAAAGUGGGGGACCGCAAGGCCUCACGUUAUUGGAGCAGCCGAUGGCUGAUUAGCUAGUUGGCGAGGUAAAGGCUCACCAAGGCGACGAUCAGUAGCUGGUCUGAGAGGACGAUCAGCCACACUGGGACUGAGAAACGGCCCAGACUCCUACGGGAGGCAGCAGUGGGGAAUUUUGGACAAUGGGCGGAAGCCUGAUCCAGCAAUGCCGCGUGUGUGAAGAAGGCCUUCGGGUUGUAAAGCACUUUUGUCCGGAAAGAAAUGGCUCUGGUUAAUACCUGGGGUCGAUGACGGUACCGAAAGAAUAAGGACCGGCUAACUACGUGCCAGCAGCCGCAGUAAAAC